GCCACUCGUCUCCGGCGACAUGUUUGUCUCCGCCCUCCUCUUGGAAGUCCAGCAGUGCCUGCAAACGCAGCGCCGUGUCGGGAUAGACCACCUGCAGUGGCGUCACGUCCUGAAGCACAAAGAGCUCAGUUAGCUUCUUUGGUCAUGUGGACAGAUGGCCCUCCCGCUCCCUGACACCAACCUGCUGGAUCUCCUCUCCGGGAUGGAGCGGGAAAGGAUCUCGGAACAGGCGGAUCUCCAGGUCGGCGUGUCGCAGCUUGGCCUGGCCCUGCUCAUCGAAGAGAACGCAGCCGUUGUCAUCGCACGCCACCGGGUUGGCGACCACGCAGUAGUGGCGCGGCGGCACCAUGAUCAUUCGCACCGGCAGGAACAGGACUCUGGGAAAAGUCAGGUGACAUCAGUGACGUGACGGCGGUGGAGGUCAAACAUCCUCUGACCUUUCAUUGUCCUGGCGGAUGAAGGUGAGGGGUCCGAUCUCCACACGGGCGAUGUUGGUGUUCUGGUCCAGCACGUGGAUGUAGUGAUGGGGCGGGAUGCGGAUGAUGGACACUUCCCCCGCCGCCUCCAUCUCAGCCACGCGACUUCCUGUCUUCUUGGACAUCAUGGCGAUGCUGAGGUGUGAGGACAAAACGUACAUCACCAAAAUGCACGCUAAUAUUUGCUCUUCUACAUGUUGUCAGAUCAUGACAUUCCAUCAUCAUCAUCAUCACACGCCCUCCACGCUGAGGACAAAGUCUCGCCAUUGCUCAGCGACACGCCCGACUCAGCGCCUUUUCUUCUCUGGGAUGACUCAUCAACUGUUACUGUCAGCCAAUCACCCAAUCAAUCAGUGACCAGACUAGAGGGUCACCUGAUAGCUGGCAGCCAAUCACAGAGCAGAAGGUGGAAGACAGGAAGUGGCAGACGGUAAGAGGAAGACAAAAUUAAUUAUACACGCACACGCACUGACGAGCACGUUUGUGCACCGUGAUAGCCAGCGUUACGAAAGUAAUCAGUUGUGCUUUUCCUGGUUCACCUUAAACAGAACAUUCUGGAUAUUUGGACAGUAAAAACGACGAUGAAGUGGAACGGCAAACAUGAUUUUUAUGACGUCACGUACAUUUUUUUGUGUGACGCAGUAAAGCAGGAAGCAAACUCGCAGGAAAGUUGGGUUAGUUAGGUAGUUACUUAUUGUUACUUUGCUAGUUAGCUUUUCUUCAUUAAGAUAAAGAAAACAAGCCAAGUCAAAAGUUGUCUUCUUACCUGCUCGUCGGGUCAGCUUGACUGAGAUUUAUUUUCCUUCCGACUCCUGAGGACUUUUCAAGAAGAGAGUGGGCGGGUCCCUGCGCAUAUCCCGGAAGAACACACCAGAGGUCACGUGACUUCCCAGCCCUGAGAGUGCGUCACCAUCGACCAAGACUUUAAGUAAAACAAACAAACCCAGCCGGUGACGCACGAAAUAUCGACCCCUGCUGGUAGAAGCUUCGUACUGCACCUCAUAAACUAAUUACACGCUUUCACCCAUUUAGUUUUCCUUUUAAUGACAGUCAUGUAUGUCAGUUAAUGUCAGUUCAUGUAUCAAAAGGACACCAGGCAUAGGUCACACGACCUGACACAAACAUGUUUUGAUAACAGCAAAAUUUGAACAAAGACUUUGGUUGAAUAAAUGUGUGGAAAAUAGACAUGUACUUACAAUUAUUUAUAUAUAUAUAUAUAUAUGUAUAUGUAUAUAUAGACAUAAAUGUUAGCUUCCCUUUUAAAAACACCGUCUAGUCGUUCACCCUUUCCUCGCCAUUCCUAACCUUUUACUGUUGGACUGUAGGAGGCGCUCUGACGGAUCACGUAACUUAGCAUGGUCCCUGAACAUGCUAAUAAACAUAAGUAUAAAAUAAACACAUUUAUACCCAAUAAGAGAUAUACAAACAUUAGCCUUGCUAACAAACGUCAUGCUAAUGAAUAUAAUAAAAAAGUCUAAAUGGGAGUUAAAGGAAAUAUUUUGUUCAUUUUCACAGUCAAACUAAUCUAUAAUCUAUAUAUAUAUAUAUAUAUAUAUAUAUAUAUAAUGCAUGUUGAGACUGGCGAGGAAAGAAUGAGGUUUGAAAUGUGAAACGACAGGUCAUGAAGUCCUGAUUGACACGUAUAAUAUUUUCUUUUUCAUGGUCUUUGCUCAUUCCAGUGUUUUAAAUAUUCAUGAUGCAUUCACGCAUCUCGCUGAAGACACUUGGACUCCAAUAAAUACAGUUUUGUUUUUCCUUGUUGGCAGCAUUGCAGCAGGAAGUGACACUUUAGCUCUCUCAUGAACAAUUCACACAAAGAUUGAAAAAGAAGAAGAUGAUCCUGCGGAACAGGAAUCCAAGUGCUGGUGUCACAUCUUUUUCUCAUGUCACUUCCUGAGCUUUUAUUGUGACAGGCCUGGAUUCAGUCCAACAUGGCGUCCAGCUGGUCGGCCAGGUCGUCAAACAUGUUCCCGAUGUCGUCCAGGAUGGUUCCUGCCGACUUGACCGUGUUGGCUCUGCAGAGCAUGAAAGACAUCAAAAUGUCGUAAAAGACAAACAGACUUCCUGUCUCCUACCAGCGUUUCUUACCCGUCAUUCUCGUCCAUGAUUAACUUCCUCUCCACGGCCUUCAGGGCUGCUUCCAGGGACGUGCUGGUCUCAUCCAGCCUUUGCUGGACCUCCGUCCCACCCUGACCCACCAGAGGCUGAUCUUUAGCGGCUGAUAGGGAGGGGCUUUGAGGGGUCACUGCUGGGGGCCCAUGGGACGGCGAGGAGAAGGCCAGACUUUGGACCACACUGAAACUCACAGCUGGAGACCCGAGUCCAGUUGCUGAAAAAAGAAUGCAAGUUUAUUGCAUUGUUAUUAUCAUUAGCAUAAUGAUUAGAUUAUCAUCGUUAUUAUCAUCAUCAUUAUGAUCAUCAUGAUUGUAAUGAUUAUCACUCACGUGCGUUGCCGUGCACUGCCAGCAGACUGUGACGGACAGGUUUUGGGGCAAUGAGCGGCGGUUUUGGGGACAGCAGAGGUUUGAUGGGGGACGCUUUGUUAAGACCGCCCUCACUCAUUCUCAAACAGACGUCUUCCUCUUGGUCCUGUGUUCUACCGUGGGCUGACUCGGCCUCGGCUGGCCCGUCUCCAUCCUUGUCUUUGGGUUUGUGUCGACGCUUGACUGUGUCCGACUCCUUGAGGUUGAAUUCGGGGACUUCCAGGCUCUUGGCGGCAGGUUUCUCUAGAGGUUCCAGCACGGCGUCAGCUCUGGGGGGUCCCGGAGCUUUAGGCCUCUGUUUGAUGGUCAGGUUGCCCUCCUCAGCAAAGGGGAUGCACUCACUCGAGCUGUUGUGAGGGGAUGACGAGCCUUCAAGUCCGCAACCUUUGGCUGCUGCUGCUUCUUCCGCAUCGGACCUGACCCCUCCCCUGUCUGAUUCCACACGGUGGCAGGUGUGCACAUGAAGGCACUCGCUCUGCACCCUCCGCCUCAGCCCUGGGGUCUCUUUGGACUCCAACAGAACAGGGUCAUGUUUGGGACCUGGAGGGUUUUUGGCCUCUCUAGUUCCUUCUAGACAGGCUGUGAUGCUCCUCACGCUUCCUGGACUGUCAGUGACGACGCCACCAGACGACGUGGUGCUGCUGUCGCUCAGCUCACCGCUGGUGCUACUGCUUACUGAGCUCAGUCUCUUGGGAGGGGGAGGAGGAGGGCCUUUUUUCCGGGCUCGCACAGCAAAAGACUGACUGCGGCCCACGGUACCGCUCUUCUCUGAACUGGACUGUAUUCGGGCCGUAUGACUGCGGCCGGAUUUUCGGGAUAAGGUGGCGUAUGAAGGCACGUUUCCAGAAGAAAGAGCCGGCUCCUCGUCUUCCUCGUCGGGUUCUCCAUCAGACAGAGCGUGACGGUUCAGGCUGUGGGCCCGUUUCUUGGCAGGUGCCAGAGUCUGGCUGUGGUGCUCAGGUCUGGUGGCCGCGUGGAGGUCUGUGGAUCCACAGUGAGAGUGCAGGUAACUGAAGCCCUUCAAUGCUGGCGAUCCACCAGGAGACGAGCCGUGAGAGCGGGACAGUUUGGGUUUGGCUGAGACGGCGGGGUACUUGAACACGGUGGCUGUUCCCAGAGGGACCUGCUUGUGGAGGGGCCUCUGGUCCCAACCCUCAGGGAGGUUCCUGUCCCUGGCGGGGCUGCUGUCAAGGCUCUCCUGGGACCAGCUGUGGGGUGUGACGGAGGCAGUGGGCGGUUCCUGGGAGCGUCCAGAUCCUCUGGAUCUGGUGUCGAUGCUGUCUUGGCUCUGGGACAAACCCACAGUGUUGUUGAAGACCAGGCCAUCUUCACAGUCCGCGUAGUGGCUUGACAUGGCUGACUGCAGCUCGGCACUCAGCUCACUGUCCUGGAAGGUCAACAUCUUGGGUGAGUGAGGGGAUGAGCAUUCCCCGCCGGCGUCUGGUGGCUCGAUGGCGACCAGAUGGAGCGCUCCGGGGCCUUUGCGUCGCAAUGUGCCCUGGUCGGAUUGGGCCUGAGCGACGGCCCUGUGGAUGUCACACAGCUUCUUCACUGCCAGCAUCAGCUUUUUCUGGUGGCCUGGAGGACGAUGGACAGAAUCAAGAGAAGGACACUCAGGAGAGCCACAGACACCUGAAGAGGGACAUCUUCUCACCCAGCUUGGUGAUGCCAAUCUCCUGCAGAUCCUCCCACGUCAGGUCUUUGACGAUGCUGAUGCUGUCAUAGCCGUUUUCUGACAGCCUUUUCAGGUACUGAGGCAGCCCAAUGGCGCUGAGCCACUCGCCCAGAUCCGACUGCAAGACAAGAACCAGCUGAGUCAGCAGCCACCAACCCCGCCCAAAACGCUCCAGUCAUGAUGAUGAUGACACACCAGGAAACAGAUUGGUCACCUCAGGUGUCAUCCUGCUGAUGGUCGGGACAUCAUAGCCGGCACUGAUGAAGUUCCCAGUGUACUGCUCCAACUGGAACUCUCUCAGCCACUCAAAGAUGGCCUCGGCAUCCUGAAAGAUGUUUCUGAUAUGUCAUGAUCGCUGCUGAGGGCGGACAAACUGCUGGCUGAAGGUCUGCUCUGCAGGUUGUUGCACCGUCACUGUGGGCCUGCGGGGGGUGACACCUGCACAGGGGUCACACGCCUGAACAUCUGGAUGGUUCCACAUUGAAGUUACUUCAUCUCAUUUAUUUUCACUAGCGUUUGGGACAUGUUUGCUAUGCAAAGGCUGGACUGGAAACGUACCUGCAGCAUGAAGGUGCUGCUUGUCUGAGCGUCCGCACUCACCAGUAGAGGAUGCCGUCUGCAGAGACAACAAGCACAAAGCUAACACAAGCAGGACAAAAUGCUAAGAGACAUCACAUGACAACAGUGUACCUUGCUGCUGUUGUCAUGGUGACCGGUGGAGGGUUGUAGCCCGUUGGGAACGCUGUUGCUCUCUGUGCUCUGUCCGCUUCCUGCGCUGCGAGUGCUGCCCACGCUCCCGGUACUUCCGACACUGUUCCUGUCUCCCGCUGACACGGGAACAUAGCAAAGUUUAGCAUGACACGCUCACAUCAGCAGCGGCUCGUCUGCGAGACACGGUGGUCAACGAGUCUGUGGGAGGGGUCAGUGUGUGGGGGAGAGGCAUGUCUUUUCUUUGGAAAAGUUGGAAAUAAAAACAACCAACUUAAACAUCAGCCAACCAAAUCUCAAACUACACUUUGUGUGGUCUUCAUCAUUAUUUUGAUGAGGCAAACGCAACUACGAAACAAACUUCCCGUAUCAGCACACUCGUGUUAGCGCUUCCCGUAUGAGCAAACGCAACGCUGCGCUGCCUGUAUCAGCACACUCGUGUUAGCGCUUCCCGUAUGAGCAAACGCAACGCUGCGCUGCCUGUAUCAGCACACUCGUGUUAGCGCUACGUGGUCACCUCACAACCACCACAACACCGCACCCGACACACACCAUUACACUCCAUGGCCUAAUAUGACACACCAAGGCACAGCAGAUUACAUGAGGUGACAUGAGAUUACAUGAAGUAUCAUGAGGUGACACAAAGUGACAAGAGACAUGAAGUAACAUGAGAUUACAUGAAGUAUCAUGAGGUGAUACAAAGUGACAUGAGACAUGAAAUAGCAUGAGGUGAUAUGAGAUUACAUUAAGUGACAUGAGGUGUCAAAGGGACAUGAGUUGUCAUGACAUAUGAAGUGACAAUUAUGAGGUGACAUAAAGUGACAUGAGACAUGAAGUAACAUGAGAUUACAUGAAGUAUCACGAGGUGAUACAAGGUGACAUGAGACACAGAGCAGCAUGAGGUGAUAUGAGAUUGCAUGAAGUAACAUGAGGUGUCAUGCGGAAACUGGGAAGUAACAUGACGUAUGAGAUGACAGGAAGGAACAUGAGGUGAUGAGAUUACAUUAAGUGACAUGAGGUGUCAUGAAGGGACAUGAGGUGUCAUGAGAUGACACUCGGUGGCAUAACGCAGCAGGAAAUGACAAUUAGGGUCAUAAAUGAGACGAGACAAAGGGGGUGGGCCACGGACCCGCCCGUGUGAGAGGCGGACUCGGUGAGGCGUGUGCGGUUGCAGAGCUGGAAGCAGCCAUGAGGAGACGCGAGGUUGUUGCUGUCUUACCAUGACACGUGUCCCUGAGCACCCAGAUGUCCUGGAAGGGACACCCGGUUUGAGACAGGUGGCUCGGAGACGCACCUAUCAGACACAAAGAUGACUGAGUUCUAUUGGGGCGGGGGAGGGGCGUGCGUGGCCAAUAAGGUUACACGAUUGGCAGAAGUGCCACCUGCUGUUAAUAUUGUCGCCCACAGCAAAUGUGACGCCAGUGUGUGCGAGACAAAAUGUGCCGUUUGAUUGGUUAGUUGUGCCUGAUGAUGUCAUCAAAGAGCUACAGGUGGCAUGAUGGCGGCCAGGCGUACCUGCAGCCAGGCCGUUGCUGAGUGGAGGAACCACAUGGGUGGGGGGAGCGUACAGCAUGAAGGAGUCGUCAGUCUGAGGGGCUGAGCUGAGGCUGUUGGACAGGGGGGCUCUGGACAGCAGUUGUUGACGCUGAGCAGGCAGGGAGGCGUGCCGGGAUAAGGUGCCCCCUACAGAGCGAGAUGUUGAGGUGCAGGGGGGAUAUCAAGCUUGUGUUUAGAGGCCAAAGGUUAUGAGGAGAGCAGGAACAAAGGCAUGCAGGAAAUUGGGGGAGGGAUGACCUGGAAGCAUGCAGGUUAGUUGUGGGAGUGGGGUUAACUCACCGCCUCGCCGGCUGAUGACCUCCACAAUGGAGGGUGGGAAGAAGCCCACCCGGUCCGUCCCCCUCUGGCUGUCGUGGAUGUGACCUUUCCAGCGUCCGUCCACGUGCUGCUCCAACACCUGCGUGAGGACAACAGCCGUCAACGCCUCCCGACCCCACGCUACCAUAGCAACUACUUUGGUCGUUGCCCUGCCCACACUGUUCCCGCAUUCUAGCACUCAUGUAGCUGCUAAGCCACAAUGUUUACCAGUGCCAGGGGGUGGAGUCUGGUGCAAGGAGACGGAGUCUGGUGGGCCCGUGUGCUGUGAACCUCAGUGGCGUGUUGGAAGCAUGGCAUUGUGACUCGCGCUAGCAUACAUGUGUACAUCAUCUAGGCGUGGUUUACAAUAUUCCACCAUUGGAGUGGGAGGAGUCUAUCAACCUCGCUGUUGGUUAAUCCAACAAAUGAGAUGCUAACAGAGUUUUAUGUGCACUUUGCUGAUGAGUGACUGUGUUUCACGUUCAUCUUCAUCUUGCUUUCUGUCCCUAAAUAAACAGACUUGUUGCACCGCUUCAUGUUUAUUGGUUUAUCUGUGGCUGAAAAGUGCCAAAUAGGAUGUGUUUAUUUGUAGUGAUCCCCAUUAGCUCUGCUAUAAAAAAAACUAUCAAUUCACUGUGGACAAAAUCUAAUCAGAUUUGACUAUAAUAAUCCCAAGUCAAGGACAGCUCUAACAUCAUGGUGGACUAGCUGCUUCACCGUGAUCACAUCCCCGGCCCGGAUGUUGAGAGCGGUGGGAUCAUGAAGGUUCCAGAAAUCCUUUAAAGCUCGGACCUGCAGAACACCUGUGGCAUCUGUGGAGGAACACGACAAGUAAUUGGGAGUCCAGACAAAGGUUAAAGGUUAAAAGGUUAAAGGAGGCAGGAAUCAGGUCAUGUGGACAACGACAAGACUAAAGUCUGUCUCAAGAGGACGGGUCCAAACAAGUCCUG